rnacentral:rRNA from 1 species
UACGAAGGGGGCUAGCGUUGCUCGGAAUCACUGGGCGUAAAGCGCACGUAGGCGGAUUGUUAAGUCAGGGGUGAAAUCCUGGAGCUCAACUCCAGAACUGCCUUUGAUACUGGCGAUCUCGAGUCCGGGAGAGGUGAGUGGAACUGCGAGUGUAGAGGUGAAAUUCGUAGAUAUUCGCAAGAACACCAGUGGCGAAGGCGGCUCACUGGCCCGGUACUGACGCUGAGGUGCG